AUGAAGAACGCAGCGAAAUGCGAUACUUGGUGUGAAUUGCAGAAUCCCGCGAAUCAUCGAGUUUUUGAACGCAAGUUGCGCCCGAAGCCAUUCGGCCGAGGGCACGUCUGCCUGGGUGUCACGCAUCGUUGCCCCCCCAAACUCCGGUUCGGGCAGGGCGGAAGUUGGCCUCCCGUGCGUGCCUGCGCGCGCGGUUAGCCCAAAAGCGAGUCCUCGGCGACGAGCGCCACGACAAUCGGUGGUUUUUUUACCCUCGUUCCUCGUCGUGCGUGCCCCGUCGCCCGAACGCGCUCUUGCGACCCUUACGCGUCGCCUCGGCGGCGCUCCCAACGCGAGCCCAGGUCAGGCGGGACUACCCGCUGAGUUUAAGCAUAUCAAUAAGCGGAGGA
rnacentral:misc_RNA from 1 species